UCUUGAUCUCAGAUCAGGCAGGAUGACCCGCUGAACUUAAGCAUAUUAGUAAGCGGAGGAAAAGAAACUAACCAGGAUUCCCUUAGUAACGGCGAGUGAAGCGGGAAUAGCCCAAUCUGAAAAGCUAGUCUGCCCUGGAGCAGGUCUCGCAUUGUAGGUUGAUGAAGCGUUUCCUAGUGUUAAACCUUUCAAUUAAAGUUCCUUGGAACAGGACAUCAAAGAGGGUGAUAAUCCCGUGAUUAAUUGAAUGACAUACCAGUUUAGCACGUCUACGGAGCGUUUUCUUAGAGUCGGAAUGUUUGGGAUUGCAUUCCAAAGCGGGUGGUAAACUCCAUCUAAGGCUAAAUACUGGCGAGAGACCGAUAGCGAACAAGUACCGUGAGGGAAAGUUGAAAAGCACUCUGGAGAGAGAGUCAAACAGUACGUGAAAUUGCUAGCAGGGAAACGUUGGGCACCAGUACACGGCAAUCAAUGUUAAUGAUCAGUCGGUCGACCGGUGAAUUGUAAUGCGGUGAUUAUUAACCUUUAGAGAUUGUCCUAUUAGCGGCGACUCACGCAUUAUAAGGUUGUCGGUUGACCGGUGCACUCUUUAACAGCCGGGUCAACAUCGGUUAAUGACGUCCGACAAGUCUAGUUGACAAGGUAGCAUUAGUGGGUUCGCUCACUUUUGAACUUAUAGGUCAUUAGUACGAGGAUGUCGUUGACCGAGGAUAAGCGAUUCGCGCGUUUCGGCGCAGGGCGUAUUAGCCGGGUUAAGGUCGCCCGUGGUGCUAAGCAGCAUGCUGAUUAGUAUUCAUUCUACUAUACUUUUGUAUAGUAGCGGUGGUCGCUCGGUUAAUACAAGCCACUAGCGAGUCAAUGAAUGUUGACGAAAUGGUAUUCAACGACCCGUCUUGAAACACGGACCAAGGAGUCUAACAUGUCUGCGAGUGUUUGGGUGGAAAACCCUUACGCGGAAUGAAAGUAACGAG
rnacentral:rRNA from 1 species